rnacentral:rRNA from 1 species
GUUCCAGCCGCCGCGGUAAUACGGAGGGUGCAAGCGUUAAUCGGAAUUACUGGGCGUAAAGCGCACGCAGGUGGCUGAGUCAGUCGAUUGUGAAAGCCCUGGGCUUAACCUGGGAAUUGCAGUCGAUACUACUCAGCUUGAGUAUGGGAGAGGGCAGUGGAAUUCUCGGUGUAGCGGUGAAAUGCGUAGAUAUCGAGAGGAACAUCAGUGGCGAAGGCGGCUGCCUGGCCCAAUACUGACACUCAGGUGCGACAGCGUGGGGAGCAAACAGGAUUAGAAACCCGCGUAGUCC